rnacentral:rRNA from 1 species
GACGAACCGUGCGAACGUUGUUCGGAUUCACUGGGCAUAAAGGGCGCGUAGGCGGAUGGUCAAGUCGGGGGUGAAAUCUUUCAGCUUAACUGGAAAAGUGCCUCCGAUACUGAUCGUCUCGAGGGAGGUAGGGGCAUGUGGAACUUCCGGUGGAGCGGUGAAAUGCGUAGAUAUCGUUUGGAACGCCAACGGAGAAAUCAGCUCGCUGGGGAUGUCCUGACGCUGAGACGCGAAAGCCAGGGGAGCAAACGGG